rnacentral:rRNA from 1 species
CCUACGGGAGACAGCAGUGAGGAAUAUUGGUCAAUGGCCGAGAGGCUGAACCAGCCAAGUCGCGUGAGGGAAGAAUGUCCUAUGGAUUGUAAACCUCUUUUGUCAGGGAGCAAAGUCACCCACGUGUGGGUGUUGGAGAGUACCUGAAGAAAAAGCAUCGGCUAACUCCGUGCCAGCAGCCGCGGUAAUACGGAGGAUGCGAGCGUUAUCCGGAUUUAUUGGGUUUAAAGGGUGCGCAGGCGGAUUUUUAAGUCAGCGGUCAAAUCGUGGGGCUCAACCCCAUCCAGCCGUUGAAACUGGGGAUCUAGAGUGUGCGAGAGGUAUGCGGAAUGCGUGGUGUAGCGGUGAAAUGCAUAGAUAUCACGCAGAACCCCGAUUGCGAAGGCAGCUUACUAAGCCAUAACUGACACUGAAGCACGAAAGCGUGGGGAUCAAACAGGAUUAGAUACCCCUGUAGUC